rnacentral:rRNA from 1 species
AUUGAACGCUGGCGGCAGGCCUAACACAUGCAAGUCGAGCGAGCGGCGGACGGGUGAGUAAUGUCUGGGAAACUGCCUGAUGGAGGGGGAUAACUACUGGAAACGGUAGCUAAUACCGCAUACCCUCAGAUGUGCCCAGAUGGGAUUAGCUAGUAGGUGGGGUAAUGGCUCACCUAGGCGACGAUCCCUAGCUGGUCUGAGAGGAUGACCAGACAAGCUGGAACUGAGACACGGUCCAGCCUCCGAAGGUAGUCAGCAGUGGGGAAUAUGGCACAAUGGGCGCAAGCCUGAUGCAGCCAUGCCGCGUGUAUGAAGAAGGCCUUCGGGUUGUAAAGUACUUUCAGCGAGGAGGCGUUACUCGCAGAAGAAGCACCGGCUAACUCCGUGCCAGCCGCCGCGGUAAUUC